GACGAACGCUGGCGGCGUGCUUAACACAUGCAAGUCGAGCGGUAAGGCCCUUUCGGGGGUACACGAGCGGCGAACGGGUGAGUAACACGUGGGUGACCUGCCCUCAGCUCUGGGAUAAGCCUGGGAAACCGGGUCUAAUACCGGAUAUGACUCCAUGACGCAUGUUGUGGGGUGGAAAGCCUUGUGCGGCUGAGGAUGGGCCCGCGGCCUAUCAGCUUGUUGGUGGGGGAUGGCCUACCAAGGCGACGACGGGUAGCCGGCCUGAGAGGGCGACCGGCCACACUGGGACUGAGACACGGCCCAGACUCCUACGGGAGGCAGCAGUGGGGAAUUUUGGACAAUGGGCGCAAGCCUGAUCCAGCCAUGCCGCGUGAGUGAAGAAGGCCU
rnacentral:rRNA from 1 species